UUUUGGUUCACGGUCUAAUUUUCGAAGUCUCGAAAAUCGGGUCGUGACAGAUUGGUAUCAGAGCAGUCGGUUUUAGAUUCUGUAGACUUUUUCUAGGAUAGAGAGUCGUACACCUCUGUGACUCAACUCAACGACACGCCUCGCCGCGACCAGGUAUGCAUUUUAACCCUGUUUAGUAGGAUAUGAGUGGUUGCAAGGCUGUAAAAAUUUGAUGUUUGUCUUGGAAAAGUGGUAACUAUGAUUACACUUUAGAGUGUUUAAUAGUGAAAGUUCACUUUAUUACUGUCGAUGCUAGAUUCGAGUUAUUGUGAGGAGGCCGAGAGGGUUCACGUUAUAACUUACUGGCCUUAGGAAGACAAAGGGGUGACUUCGCAAAGUGCGUGACGUCCAACCCAUAGAAAUGUAUAUCAGACCUUCUAAGGUCUAGUAAGAGAUGGUAUACCUAUGGCUCAGCCUCCCACAACCAUAAUUCUAGAUGUCAAGCAUGCCUCCAUGGAGACCACGUGGUAGGCCUGGACAGUAUAGGGUUGUCUUGGUGCACAAACCACAUAGUAGACACAAACAAUAUCGUUCUUACAAGUAAGGGCGACCACGGUAGGAAUUAAGCACCCCUCAAGCAAACCAUUUUCACGGGUGAGUUUGGUUAAGUUGAAAGUCGAGAAAUAAGAUUCACCAACAGAGAGAGUGAAGCUGUGGAGGCCCUGGCUUCCAGGUUGGUUGGAGUCUUCAUGAUAUAAGUUCAGGUUCAUGGACUUCCAUAAGUGAGAUGUGCGCUUUAUGCCACUAAUGAGUCAUGGGGUGUAGGAUAUUCCUACUAAAGGAUCACCUAAUGGAUGACAAGUCGCUUUGGACCUUGGUAGAGAGGACUGAGUUCAAAAAGCAGUACGUGGUUAUCAGGACCAUGAAACUGCGUUCUAACCUAUCCUUUGGUCAGGGCAUGUAUGCUCACAAGGUGAGGGACGUGGAACUGUCAAGGUAGUCCAGCGAACCUUAGGGUUGAGAACAACAAGAAAAGAGGUCAAGCUAUGGUCAUGCCUUCGCCGUUUGAAGGAAGAAAGUCUAGAUGGGUGUUAAUAAGAACCAACCCUUGUAUAAGUGAUCUGGACUACAAAGGGUAGAACUCCAGUUUCACACAUGAGUGUAACAAAAUACUUGUGAAGCAUGCUCAGACAGAGGUAGAGAUGCUAGAUAACGUGAGUUUAAAAACUACCUGAAGAGUAGUGAGAUAGUGAUAGUGCACUAGUAAGGGGAGCAGAAGACAUAAUGUGUCUUGUGGAAAACCUUGGACAUAGAUAAAGUAUCCUCAGAGCUUGAGGAAGACUAGUUACCAAACAAGAGUUUUUAGAGAGUUCCAUAGGCUCCUUUACAAGAACUUGAUGGAUGCACACACAUGAGCCAAUAUAAGAUAUCACUACGAAAGAAAAUGUGACUUGAUCAAUCAUAAGACACUACAUGAGUUGGCCUAGGUGAAUGCAGAGGACUUAUAC